rnacentral:rRNA from 1 species
UACGUAGGGUGCAAGCGUUGUUCGGAAUUACUGGGCGUAAAGGGCUCGUAGGCGGCCAACUAAGUCAGACGUGAAAUCCUUCGGCUUAACCGGGGAACUGCGUCUGAUACUGGAUGGCUUGAGUUUGGGAGAGGGAUGCGGAAUUCCAGGUGUAGCGGUGAAAUGCGUAGAUAUCUGGAGGAACACCGGUGGCGAAGGCGGCCUGCUGGGCAGUUGCUGACACUGAGGCGCGACAGCGUGGGGAGCAAACAGGG